rnacentral:rRNA from 1 species
GAUGAACGCUGGCGGCGUGCCUAAUACAUGCAAGUCGAGCGAACGGACUCGAAGCUUGCUUCUCUGAUGUUAGCGGCAGACGGGUGUGUAACACGUGGAUCACCUCCCUCUCUGACUGGUAUACCUUCGGGAAUCCGUCUCUAAUCCCGUAUAAUCUUUUUAACCGCAUUGUUCAAAAGUGAAAGAUGGUCUUGCUGUCACUUCUCGAUGUAUCCGCGCGGCAUUAGCUAGUUGGUAAGGUAACGGCUUACCAAGUCAACGAUGGAUAGCCGAACUGAGAGGGGGAUAGGCGACACGGGAAGUGAGACGGGGACAAGACUACUAAGGGACGCAGCAGAAGGGAAUCGGCGGCAAUGGGCGAAAGCAUGACGGAGCAAGCGCGAGCGAGAGAUGGAGGCGCCGGGAGCGGAAAAAUGUGUUACGAGGGAAGAACACAUGUGAAAGUAACUGAAGAGAUCUUGACGGUACAUAAUGAGAAAGCAACGGCUAACUACGUG